rnacentral:rRNA from 1 species
GAGUUUGAUCUUGGCUCAGGACGAACGCUGGCGGCGUGCCUAACACAUGCAAGUCGAACGGAGAUAAGCGCUGAAUGGAGAGCAGCUUGCUGAAGGAAAUUCUUGUUUAUCUUAGUGGCGGACGGGUGAGUAACGCGUGAGCAACCUGCCUUUCAGAGGGGGAUAACGUCUUGAAAAGGACGCUAAUACCGCAUGAGACUACAGCCUCGCAUGGGGAAGUGGUCAAAGGAGCAAUCCGCUGAAAGAUGGGCUCGCGUCCGAUUAGGUAGUUGGCGGGGUAGAGGCCCACCAAGCCGACGAUCGGUAGCCGGACUGAGAGGUUGAACGGCCACAUUGGGACUGAGACACGGCCCAGACUCCUACGGGAGGCAGCAGUGAGGGAUAUUGGUCAAGUGGGGGAAACCCUGAACCAGCAACGCCGCGUGAGG